UGAAAGGUGCCACCACCUUUAUCAUAUUUUGGAAGUUCUGCAAAUACAAAGAGGCUGAGGACGGUUGCCUUAGCCAUCCUAAAGAAGGCAGAGUUAGAGGAAAAGUGUCCUCCUCUCCCACCUGCUAGGUGAUUUGGAAGCUGCUGACAAAAAGGAACCUGAUUCUCCACUCUUUGCUACUCAAAGCGUGGUCCUUGGACCAGCAGUGUCAGCUUCAUCCAGGAGCACGUCAGAAACGCCGGUUCCCACACCAGACCUACUAUAUUAGUCUGCUGGGGCUUCCCUAACAAGGUACCGAGGACUGGGUGGCUUAAACAAUGGAAAUUCGUUUUUCACAGUUCUGGGGGCCAGAAGUCCAAGAUCCCAGUGUCAGCAGGGUUGAUUUCCUCCCAAGUCUCUCCUGUUGGUUUGUAGACAGCCGUCUUCUCCCUGUGUCUUCACGUGAAUUUUCCUCUGUGUCUGUGUGUGUUCUUUUCUUACGCUCAGAUUAGAUUACAGCCCACCUCAGUGACCUCAUUUUACCUUAGUUACCUCUUCAAAGACUGCAUCUCCAAGUACAAUCACAUUCUGAGGUACUGGGGAUUAGGACUUUGGCGUAUAGAUUUUGAGGGGACACAGUUCAGCCCGUAACACCUACUAAAUCAGGAUUUACAUUUUAACAAGAUCCCAGGGAACUUGCAUACACAUUUAAGUUGGAAAAGCACUGCCCAGUGCCUGUUCCCUAGUGGAUGAAACACCAGUGUGUCUGUCUAGGGCUGGAGGCAGAGAAAGGAGAUGCUGGGUGAUUUUUUUCUCUCUCCAUUCUACAGGUCUGGUUGGGGGAGAAAACUGGGGAAGUAUUCCCUCUUUUUGAAGUUGAAAGAGGUCAAGUCCCUCUUGAGGGAAAGUCUCUGUUUCUCACUGAGGAACAAAGACCUCUGCACCUUUGGGAAUGUGAGCAGACAAGAAACUGAAGCUUAGAAAGGUGUGAAACGACUUUCAAAGUUGCACAAAGAAGAACGGUAAAGCAGGAAUCCAAAUCUAACCCACGCUGUCUCCCCACUGCACUCCUCUGUAGUGUACGCAUUCAGAAAAGCUAUCAAGAGGACAAGAGUAAGAUCUUUUUUUUUUUUUUUAACCUGCCAGGAAAUGCUGGCAAAAAAUGUAGUAGUAACAUUCAGAUGGGGAGAAAACAACGUUGGGGGGAAGUGAGGAAGUAGUGGCUUCUAGUAAGUUGUGCCCGUGCCAGGGUUAAGCCUUCAUCGUAUGAUACACACAUCAAGCAUUAGCCAUCAUCAAGAAGACAGCAUCUUAAAAUGCAUUAUAUAUGGUGUUUUGAUGAUGCUAAGGUGCAGUCUGCACAUUGAAGACUUUUCAGACAUUUUUGGGUCACUGUAAUAAUAUGGGCAGUGAGAGCCAGGAUUUACUUUUUACUUUUCAGGCCAGAGCAAGAUGAUCAUUUCAAGUAAGAAAAGAUAUUACUCUAUGUGGUUAAAGAAACCCUUUGUUAGCUAACUCCUUCUUUUAUUUAACUGAAUGAAACUUAAGUUGACUGUUCCAGCUGGUCCUCUUACAAACCUGAGCAGGCUAACACUGUGUUGCAGUAUUGAGAUUUUAUUGUAUUAACAACUUAAAGUGUUAGCAAUGAAGUCAAAACUAAGUCCUGGCUCUAUAUUAAAAAAAUAAUACUUCUGCCUUGAAACUUUGCAAGCUAUGUGGUCCAAUAAGACUCUAAGAUAUCAGAUGUGUUAAAUGGCGCCACUGAAUAUCUUAUAAAGUUAUAAAGUGUAUCUGAAAAGUAUUUUUUGCUGAACAACAAAGGUAAAAAGCCAGCAAAGGAAUCCUUCACUGACCCCCUUGAAAUGGAAACAAUUUAUGAAUGUGAGCAGUUGUUAGAUAUUAUUAGUAAUACAACUUUGAAACGGAAAAUUCCUAUUAUCCUUCUUUCAAGUUUCUGGAUCAGUUUCAUUGAAAAGUGUCAGAAGACUGUAAGGCAUGCUGCUUAAAGACUGUGUUUGCAAGGACUGUCUUCGUGUCAAUCAAGAAUCACUUGAUGCUGUGCAACAACAAUAAAAUAUAAAAAUAGAUUGCUGACACUGAUAUAAAACUGGAACUGACAUCCAUAACCACCAACUUCUGAUUUCUGUGCUCCUCAAAGCACAUUCAUUGUCGCCACUGAGUGAUUUUUACAUUUUCAUUUAAAAUAAAUUAUUUACAAAUCAUGAAUAUUUAAAACAUACUUCACAGUACAGAGAAUAUGAAAAAUAAGUUCUCAACACCCAGUUUUAACAAAUAUUAGCAUUUUACCACAUUCAGUGCCUUUUUAAAAGAUGUGUGUUACUACAGUUAUAGAACCUUCUGGUUCCUCUCUUUCACCAGGGGUUACCACUCUCCUGAAGUUCCUUCCCGUCCAUUUUAAUACCUAGAUGUGUAUUAUGUAUAGUAGUAUUAUCUUAAUAUUUAUAUGUUAUAUGUUGUAAAUAUCCUUCUGCAACUUGCAUUGUUUUUUCUCACCAGAAUCUCAUGGAGAUUUAUCUGGGCUGAUUUGUUUAGUUUUAUUUCAUUCAUUUUUUUUCUUUUUUUAUUGAGGUAUGUCUUAGCUCUGGCUGGUAUAACAAGAAUACCACAAACUGAGUGAUUUAAACAACAGACAUUUAGUUCUCACACUUCUGGAGGCCAGUAAGUCUGAGAUCAGUGUGCCAGCAUGGAUGGGAUCUGGUAAGGGCCAUCUUCUUGGUUUCCUAACAUGCGGCAGGGUGUGUGGGUGUGUGUGUGUGUGUGUGUGUGUGUGUGUGUGUGAGAGAGAGAGAGAGAGAGAACAAGCUCUCUUGUGUCUCUUUUUAUAAGGGCACUAAUCCCAUCAUGAGGGCUCUACCUUCAUGACCUAAUUAUCUCCCAAAGAACCCAUCUCCAAAUACUGUCACCUCAGGGAUUAGGGUUUCAACAUGUGAGCUUUGAGGGGACACAAACAUUCAGUCCAUAGCAACCUAUCACAUACAUCCGCUGAAGUGUACAACUCUAGCACACAGGUAAGACUUCCACCCGGAUCAAGAUGGAGACCAUUUCCAGCACCCCACAGUUCUCUGUGCCCCCUCCCAGUUCACAUUUCUCAGAGACAACCACUCAUAUGGCCUGUAGCACUGUAACUUAAUUUGGAUUGUUUUGAACAUUGUAUAAAUGGAAUCAUACAGUA